GUCUAAUACUGGAUAUGACUUCUUGCCGCAUGGUGGGGGGUGGAAAGUUUUUAUGGUUUUGGAUGGACUCGCGGCCUAUCAGUUUGUUGGUGAGGUAAUGGCUUACCAAGGCGAUGACGGGUAGCCGGCCUGAGAGGGUGACCGGCCACACUGGGACUGAGACACGGCCCAGACUCCUACGGGAGGCAGCAGUGGGGAAUAUUGCACAAUGGGCGAAAGCCUGAUGCAGCGACGCCGCGUGAGGGACGACGGCCUUCGGGUUGUAAACCUCUUUCAGUAGGGAACAAGGCCGGUUUUGGCUGGUUGAGGGUACCUGCAGAAGAAGCGCCGGCUAACUACGUGCCAGCAGCCGCGGUAAUACGUAGGGCGCAAGCGUUGUCCGGAAUUAUUGGGCGUAAAGAGCUCGUAGGCGGUUUGUCGCGUCUGCUGUGAAAGCCCGAGGCUCAACCUCGGGUCUGCAGUGGGUACGGGCAGGCUAGAGUGCGGUAGGGGAGACUGGAAUUCCUGGUGUAGCGGUGAAAUGCGCAGAUAUCAGGAGGAACACCGAUGGCGAAGGCAGGUCUCUGGGCUGUAACUGACGCUGAGGAGCGAAAGCAUGGGGAGCGAACAGGAUUAGAUACCCUGGUAGUCCAUGCCGUAAACGUUGGGCACUAGGUGUGGGGCUCAUUCCACGAGUUCCGUGCCGCAGCUAACGCAUUAAGUG
rnacentral:rRNA from 1 species